rnacentral:rRNA from 1 species
CUACGGGGGGCAGCAGUGGGGGAUAUUGCACAAUGGGGGAAACCCUGAUGCAGCAACGCCGCGUGAAGGAAGACGGAUUUCGGUCUGUAAACUUCUAUCAGCAGGGAUGAAAAUGACAGUACCUGACUAAGAAGCCCCGGCUAACUACGUGCCAGCAGCCGCGGUAAUACGUAGGGGGCAAGCGUUAUCCGGAUUUACUGGGUGUAAAGGGUACGUAGGCGGUUUGUUAAGUCAGAUGUGAAAGCCCGGAGCUCAACUCCGGGACUGCAUUUGAAACUGGCGAACUAGAGUACAGGAGAGGAAAGCGGAAUUCCUAGUGUAGCGGUGAGAUGCGUAGAUAUUAGGAAGAACACCAGUGGCGAAGGCGGCUUUCUGGACUGUAACUGACGCUGAGGUACGAAAGCGUGGGGAGCGAACAGGAUUAGAUACCCCCGUAGUC